rnacentral:misc_RNA from 1 species
GAUGAAGAACGUAGUGAAUUGCGAUAAGUAAUGUGAAUUGCAGAAUUCAGUGAAUCAUCGAAUCUUUGAACGCACAUUGCGCCCCUUGGUAUUCCGAGGGGCAUGCCUGUUCGAGCGUCAUUAUAACCCCUCAAGCUCAGCUUGGUGUUGGGGCCUGCUGCACUGGCAGCCCUUAAAAUCAGUGGCGGCGCCAUCUGGCUCUAAGCGUAGUAAUUCUUCUCGCUAUGGAGUCCUGGUGGAUGCUUGCCAUCAACCCCCAAUUUUUCUAUGGUUGACCUCGGAUCAGGUAGGGAUACCCGCUGAACUUAAGCAUAUCAAUAAGCGGAGGA